CUUUACCUACGGGGCGCAGCAGUAGGGAAUCUUCCACAAUGGGCGAAAGCCUGAUGGAGCAACGCCGCGUGGGUGAAGAAGGUCUUCGGAUCGUAAAACCCUGUUGUUAGAGAAGAAAGUGCGUGAGAGUAACUGUUCACGUUUCGACGGUAUCUAACCAGGAAGCCACGGCUAACUACGUGCCAGCAGCCGCGGUAAUACGUAGGUGGCACGCGUUAUCCGGAUUUAUUGGGCGUAAAGGGAACGCAGUCGGUCUUUUAAGUCUGAUGUGAAAGCCUUCGGCUUAACCUG
rnacentral:rRNA from 1 species